rnacentral:rRNA from 1 species
UACGGAGGGGGCUAGCGUUGUUCGGAAUUACUGGGCGUAAAGCGCACGUAGGCGGCUUUGUAAGUUAGAGGUGAAAGCCCGGGGCUCAACUCCGGAAUUGCCUUUAAGACUGCAUCGCUAGAAUUGUGGAGAGGUAAGUGGAAUUCCGAGUGUAGAGGUGAAAUUCGUAGAUAUUCGGAAGAACACCCGUGGCGAAGGCGGUUCUCUGGGACGGUACUGACGCUGAGACGCGAAAGCGUGGGGAGCGAACAGG